UACGUGAGGCGGAGCAAACACAAAACACAGUCUCAGUUCAGAUUGUAGGCUGAAACUCGCCUAUAUGAAGUCGGAAUUGCUAGUAAUCGCGGAUCAGCAUGCCGCGGUGAAUACGUUCCCGGGCCUUGUACACACCGCCCGUCACACCAUGAGAGUCGAUAACACCCGAAGCCUGUAGUCUAACAGCAAUGAGGACGCAGUCGAAGGUGGGAUUGAUAAUUAGGGUGAAGUCGUAACAAGGUACC
rnacentral:rRNA from 1 species